rnacentral:lncRNA from 1 species
UUUAUUUUCACCCCUAAUACUACGAAAGAGAAUAUAUAUACUCUUUCCGUUCCCAAAAGAUCCAUGUUUUAGUAUUUUCAUAUUUUUUUAAUAAAACAUAUUAAAACUUAGCUAUAAGUGCAUAGUUUUUUAUAAUUUUAUAAUUUUUCUAUUUUUAAACCAAUAAGAUUUUUAAAAAUACAAUUAAUGUUUUUCAAUUUCUCAUUAUUAGUUGACAAAAAUUGCAUUGAAAAUAUAGAAUAUGUAUCUUUUUGAAACAUUUUUUUAUUUAGA